CCCCUGAGUGAAGGAAUGGGACAUCUGCCAGUUUGAACUGAGGUAAUGGAAUGUGAGGCAAGUGGCAGUUGGAACUUUUCAGAACAAUGCUCUGGUAUCUGGGUUAGAAAUCAGGGGAGAAUGUUUAAAAAUUAAGCUUUUUAGUU